GACAGGGGUCUCGAGCGUUAAUCGGAAUUACUGGGCUUAAAGGGUGCGUAGGCCGGCCCGCAAGUGCUUUGUGAAAUCCCAUGGCUCAACCAUGGAACUGCUUGGCAUACUGCGGGUCUGAGGAAGGUAGGGGUUGCCAGAACUGUAGGUGGAGCGGUGAAAUGCGUAGAUAUCUACAGGAAUGCCGAUGGUGAAGACGGGCAACUGGGCCUUUCCUGACGCUGAGGCACGAAAGCGUGGGGAGCAAACAGG
rnacentral:rRNA from 1 species